rnacentral:rRNA from 1 species
GACGAACGCUGGCGGCAUGCUUAACACAUGCAAGUCGAAGGGAAAGGCCCUGCUUUUGUGGGGUGCUCGAGCGGCGAACGCGCGAGUAAGACGUGAGUAACCUGCCCUUGCCUUUGAGAUAACUUCAGGAAACUGGGACUAAUACCGGAUAGGUAUUCCUGCUGCAUGGUGGGGGUUGGAAAGUUUCGGCAGUUGGGGAUGGACUCGCGGCUUACCCAUUUGUUGGUUGGGUAGUGGCUUACCAAGGCUUUGACGGGUGGCUGGCCUGAGAGGGUGACCGGCCAAAUUGGGAAUGAGCUACGGGCGGGACUCGUGCGGGAGGCAGCAGAGGGGAAGAGUGCACAAUGGGCGGAAGCCUGGUGCAGCAAGGCUGCGUUCGGGAUGGUGGCCUUCGUUUAGUAAACCGCUUUCGCCUGUAAGGAAGCGUGAGUGAAGGUAAUGUGUAAAGAAGCACCGGCUAACUACGUG